GGCUUCAUAGCUCAGUUAGAAGAGCAUCGCACUAGUAACGCGGAAGUCACGGGUUCAAAUCUCGUUGAAGCCA